rnacentral:tRNA from 1 species
UAUUAGAUGGCUGAAAGCAAGCAUUAAUCUCUUAAAUUAACUAUAGUAAUAUAGCAAUUACUUCUAAUGG